rnacentral:ncRNA from 1 species
UACAGGUAGAGGUGCAAGAAUUAUCAGUAGGCAUUCAGACAUUGUAAGGAAUGGAAGAAGAGUGUUGAAAGGAAGGAUUGCCGAAGGGCUUAUCAGCCUUAAGGAUAAGUUUCUGGGUAUACAAUGAAGAAUUGUAUGACUGUCAUCGCAAGAUGGAGGGCUACUAAA